rnacentral:rRNA from 1 species
GACGAACGCUGGCGGCGUGCUUAACACAUGCAAGUCGAACGGAAAGGCCCUGCGCUUGUUGCGUGCUCGAUUGGCGAACGGGUGAGUAACACGCGAGUAACCUGCCCUUGUCUGUCUGAUAACUCCACGGAACACGGGCUAAUAUCGCAUAGGAGCUCCUGCUCCACGUGGGGGGUUGGAAAGUUUCGGCGGUUCUGGAUCGACUCGCGGGUUACCAGCUGGUUGGUGUGGUAGUGGCUUACCAAGGCUUUGACGGGUAGCCGGCCUGAGAGGGUGACCGGGCAGCUUGGGACUGAGAUACGGCCCAGACUCCUACGGGAGGCAGCAGUGGGGAAUAGUGCACAAUGGGCGGAAGCCUGAUGCAGCAACGUCGCGUGCGGGAUGCCGGCCUUCGGGUUGUAAACCGCUUUCGCCUGUGACGAAGCGUGAGUGACGGUAAUGGGUAAAGAAGCACCGGCUAACUACGUG